GUGUCAGCAGCCGCGGUAAUACGGAGGGGGCGAGCGUUAUUCGGAAUUAUUGGGCGUAAAGGGCGCGUAGGCGGCUAGAUGUGUCAAAGGUGAAAUCCCUCGGCUCAACUGAGGAACUGCCUUUGAAACUGUCUGGCUUGAGGCCGGGAGAGGGUAGCGGAAUUCCCAGUGUAGCGGUGAAAUGCGUAGAUAUUGGGAGGAACACCAGUGGCGAAGGCGGCUACCUGGACCGGUUCUGACGCUGAGGCGCGAAAGCGUGGGUAGCAAACAGGAUUAGAAACCCUAGUAGUCC
rnacentral:rRNA from 1 species